rnacentral:rRNA from 1 species
CACGAAACUAGAUGAGCUACGUAAAUAUAAUUAUUAGAUUAGUGUAUGUAACAUAAUAUAAGUAAAUAUUUACUUAGGGGUGAUAGGCUUUCCAAAUCUAGGGAUAUCUUGAUACUCAAGAAAGACAUUGAGUGUUAAAAUAAUUAUGUAGUGAUUAGGCUACUUAAUAACAUAAAUGUUUGCUAAUAGCGUUAUUUUGAUUUAAUUAUUGAAUAUUCCUUAUAAUAACAUUUUAAUAUUCCUGCUUAUGGUUUUUAUUGAGUUGCAUACUAAUUUCUGAUUAUGUUAAUAAUGUAUCUAUUAGUAAUAUUCUAUUUAUUUGAAAUGAACUCGGCAACAUAUCCUUCAACUGUUUACCAAAAACAUAAUUAUGGGUUUUUAUCCAUAACGAUUUCUGCUCAAUGAAGUUUAAAUAGCCGCAGUACCCUGACUGUGCAAAGGUAGCGUAAUAAUUUGACUUAUAAUUGAAGUCCUGUAUGAAUGAAUAUAUGGGGGGUAACUUUAUCUAAAGUAGUACAUAAACUUAUUUUAAAAGUGCGAAAUCUUUUAAAAAAAUGAAAGACGAGAAGACCCUUGAAAUUUUUAAAACGUGUGUAUAGAACUUUUUGUUGGGGCAACAGAAUAACACGCAACUUAUUUUAUAGGACACGACCAUGUUUGUGUAAGAUUAAAUUACUCUAGGGAUAACAGCGUGAUUUAGAAAAGUUUGCGACCUCGAUGUUGGACUAGGAAAAGAUUGUCCAGAA